rnacentral:tRNA from 1 species
GCCUUUGUGGUGUAAUGGUCAGCACACUGAGCCUGUAUUUCAGAGGUCCGUGGUUCGAUCCCCGGCGAAGGCG